CUCCACAUGCCGCGGGAGUGGCCCAAGAAAUGGCAAAAAGACAAAAAGACAAAAAAAAAAAAAAAAAAAAAAAAAAAAAGGAAAGAAGUUUAAAAAAAAGUCAUCAGUCUUGAACUUUAUUUUGACAUCAGGGGGUAAGUUCAUUAACUCAUGCACAUAUUCCUUUAACAGAUAUAUUUGAGGUGCUCAUUAUGUACCAGAAACUGGGCUAAGACAGUUAUGGUCCCCAUCAUUAUGGAGGGUGGAACAUUUGGUUAGAGAAACAAUAAGUAAAUGAAUGAGUGGUUAGAAAGUGAGGUAAGUUGUCUGGAGGAAAUAAAUAGCAAUUUGUGAUAGAGAAUGGGUGGUAUUAGAGGUCUUCUAGAAAGUGGGAGUCCAGGGAACUCUCUCUGAGGGCUUGACAUUGUAGCAAACACUAGAGGUUGUCUCUGAUUAGGUUCCCCAGAAGCAGAGCCUGAGAUUUAUUAGUAAAAUUUCCUGAGAGGCCAGGUACUAGGGUGGGGGCCUAGAGCACAUCAUUUAAGGAGGUGCUCAUUGUCAGAUUUGUGCAAGGGCAGUAUCAGCACCUGAGAGGGAGCAUCCCCUUAAAUUUUGCAUCCCGCAUGCCAUUUGCACCUCACCCUGAUUGUGGCAAGCAUGAAAAGUCUAAAAGAGGUAAACAAGUGUAUAAGAGCCUCUAUUUGUAAGGCUUUUGUACACUUGUUUACCUUUUUAUAAGCCUCUACUUGAUCUGUAAGCCUCAAUUCAUAAGCCUCUACUCCCAGCCUGUGAUAGUUGUUAUUAGUUUCCUGAGAGUCUUAUCCAUAUCAAAUUUUAUGCAUGACAACUAUAAAACAUUGCUGAAAAAAUUAAAGAUGAUGCAAACAGGUGGAAUGACAUCUUGUGCUUACAAACAUAAAGCCUUGUGUUUACAGAUAUAAAGUUGUUAAAAUGUUCAUACUACUCAAAGCAAUCUACAGAGUCAAUACAAUCCCUAUCAAAAUCCCAAAGAUUUUUUUUUUUCAGAAAUAGAAAAAUCUACCCUAAAAGUUACAUAGACUCUUGAGGGACUCAGAAUAGCCAAAAUUAUCUUGAAAAUUAAGAACAAAGUUGGAAGUCUCACAUUCUUGACUUCAGAACUUACCACAGAGCUACAAUAAUCAAAACAGUGUGGUAUUGCCAUAAAGACUGACACAUAGUCCAAUGGAAUAGAAUAAAGAGCCCAGAAAUAAACUGCCUAUAUGGGAAAAUAAUAUUUGACAAGAGUGCCAAGACCAUCAAUGGGGAAAGUGCAGUCUUUUCAACAGACAGUGAUGGGAAAACUGGAUCUCCACAGGCAAAAGAAUAAAGUUGGACCCUUAUCUUGCACUAUACACCAAAAAUUAGCUGAAAAUGGACCAAAGUCCUACAUAUUUGAUCUAUGUCUAUAAAACUCUUGGAAAAAAAUAUUUGGGGAAAUCUUCACAACAAUGAUUUUUUUAGAUAUGAUACCAAAAACACAGUGAACAAGAAAAAAUAGGCAAAUAGGACUUCAACAAAUUUAAAAACUUUUGUGCAUCAAAGGACACUGUCACCAGAGUAAAAAGGCAGUUCAACGAAUGGGAGAAAAUAUUUGCAAAUUUAGGGGUUGAUAUCUAGAAUAUAUAAAGAACUCCUACAACUCAGUAACCAACAAACCUCAAACAAUCUAACUAAAAAAUGAGCAAAAAGGUGUUCCAUUGUGGCUCAGUGGUAACAAAUGUCACUAGUAUCCAUAAAGAACUCCUACAACUCAGUAACCAACAAACCUCAAACAAUCUAACUAAAAAAUGAGCAAAAAGGUGUUCCAUUGUGGCUCUGUGGUAACAAAUGUCACUAGUAUCCAUGAGGUUUGAUGAAUUCCUGGCUCAUCUCAAUGGAUUAAGGAUCUAGCAUUGUCAAGAGCUGUGAUGCCUGUCAUAGACACAACGUGGAUCUAGCCUCAGAUCUGGUUGCUGUGGCUGUGGCAUAGGCUGGCAGUUGCAGCUCCAAUUCAACCCCUAGCCUGGGAACUUCCUAACAUGGGAACUCCUAUAUGCUGGGAACUUUGAUAAGGUGCAGCCUUAUUAAAAAAAAAGAGCAGUCUUGAAUAAAUAUUUCUCCAAAGAAGAUAAAUAGAUAUCCAAUAAGCACACAUAUGCUCAACAUUCCUAAUCACUGCGAAGGACAAAAUCACAAAUGAAAUAUCAUUUCACAACCACUAGGUGUCUAUUAUUUAAAAAAAAAUUCAGAAAAUAGCAAGUGUUGAUGAGAAUGUGGAGAAAUUGGAACACUUGGGCAUUGCUGGUAAGAAUAUAAAACGGUGCAACUGCUGUGGAAAAUAGUUUGGCAUUUCCUCAAAAAAAGCCUAGAAUUACAUAGAAUAAGCAUAGAAUGAUCUAGCAAUUCUACUCCUGGGUACAUACCCCAAAGAACUGAAACAGGGACUCAGAUAUUUGUAUAUCAACAUUCAAAACAGCAUUAUUCACAAUAGUCAAAAAGUAGAAACAACCAAAUGUCCAUUAAUGGAUGAAUAGACAAAAUGUAGUAAACCAUACAACAGAAUAUUACUCAGCCCUAAAAAGGAAGGGAAUUGUGACACCUGCUACAGCAUGGAUCAAGCUUGAAGACAUUAUGCUAAGUGACAAGUCGCAAGGACAAAUAUUCUAUGAUUCCCCUUAUAUUAGUUAUCUAGAUUAGUCAAACUCAUAGGAGUGGAAAGUAAAAGAGUGGUUGCCAGGGGCUGUGGUGGGGAUGGAAGAAUGGAGAGUUAUGAAAUCUUCCCAUACCUCCAGGUAGCACUCAGGUCACUCUUGGGUAACAGAAUGAGAACUGGAUUUCAAGCCAGGGAUGUGAAAAUUCCCUCCUGUCCUGGGCUGGCCCACCCCACCUCCCACCCAUGACAAUGCCACCCAGCUUCUGAAGGGCUCUGGAACAGGAACAUUUUUCUGAAAAGUUACCUUUGUCUGUUCUAGAAAACAUAGCUAUUGUCCAGUGGACACAGCUGGGUGUGUCUUGAGUGAGGGUGUGUAGUGAGGGUAUUGCUCUGGUGGUCCCUGGGGCAGAGCCUCAGAAAAGAAUUGUGUCUGGGGCAUUCAUCCACCUGGGGGAAGAUGAGACCAAGAGUGAGAACAAGCUGGGUGGUAUGAUGACUGAAAAGGGGAGAAAGGAAUGAGAACAGAGAAGCAGCAGAAUUGGGGAAAGAAGAGGAAUGUCCAUAUCAGACAUAAUCAUGGCUCUUCCCUGUUCCCUUCCUGCCCCCACACAGCCUGUCCCAGGCCCAUGGCUUUACAUCUGAUGGAGUCAGUGUGGAGCAUGUGGAUGCCGUCUUAGCAGAGGGGGUGAAUGGGUUCAUCUUUAAAGACAAAGACAGAGUUCCCAUUGUGGCUCAGUAGGUUACAAACCCAACUAGAAUCCAUGAGAAUGUGGCUUUCAUCCCUGGCUUCUCUCAGUGGGUUAAGGAUCCAGCGUUGCCAUGAGCUGUGGUGUAGGUCGCAGUCAAGGCUUGGAUCUGGUGUUGCUGUGGCUGUGGUGCAGGCUGGCAGCUGCAGCUCUGAGUCAAACCUUAGCCUGGGAACUUCCAUGUGUCGCAUGUGCGCAGCCCUAAGGGGGAAAAAAGAGACAAAGGCAAUGUCUAUACAGAUAGUGUCAGAUGCAGCAUUUCCCUUUGGGGUAUCCCAUCCUGAUGCCUCCUCCCAGCCAUGUCUGUUCACAAUGUAAUAGAUCAUGUGCUCAGUGUAAUGAGUUUGUUCAUCAGGACUGAGAUGUCUACUUGUGAUGUUCAUGCACUUAGAGGAGACAUGGCAGGUUUCCUCCAGAAGCCCUCCCCAGACCGGACCAGGGCAAGAGCCUUACCCCUUGUGCUGAGUGUUCAGUGAACUUGGGCUCACCUUGGAUCCCUAGUCAGACCACUGAACUCAACAGAAUUAGAGCACCCAGUGGUUCCUCAUUCUUAUACACAGCCACGUUGUCUGAGAUCAAGGAUUGUAGGGCUGAGUUGGUGGAUCGUUGCAAGGAAGAUACUGAGAUGUUUGGAGUCCGCAAAGGAAGAGGCAAAAGUAGCAUGUGAGUCUCUGAGGAUGGUGUUGAGAUAGUGUUGAGAAAAAAGCCACUGAAGCUACCCUGUUUCUUUACUCCUAGACAGGUGUAGAGUUCAGGGCAGUGUGGCUUCUCCUGGCUCCCUCUGACUCCUAUCUCACCUAGCUUUUGGAUUCAUGAGCCUAGAAAAGCAAACUUUAGCUUUCAGCCUAGAGACAAAGCAAAGCCUACUGUCUGGGAAAAUUCAGUUCACACCCAAUAAUCUGACAAUACUAAAAAUCCAUAAUGUUAUUUUAAAAAAUUUUACAAGUUUUAUUGAAGUAGAGUUGAUUUACAAUGUUGUGAUAAUUUCUGCUGUACAGCAAAUUGAUUCAAUUAUACAUAAUGCACACAUCCACCCACGGCACCUGGCUGGAGAUGGAACCAGAACCUCCACAGUGACUUGAGCUUCUGCAGUAGGAUUCUUAACUCAUUGUGCAACAGCAGGAACUCCUUGAGUUACUUCUAAUUGUCAGAUUAAAAAAUAUUGCAUGCGGUGUACUUAUACCUUUCUAUUUUAUCUGAAAUAAAGUGUACCUAACUUUUAUCCUUCUUUUGUUAAUUAUAUUUCUCUGGUGAUUUGACUUUCCAUAAAAGUUCUUUGUUUUGCAGAUUUAUUUGCUUAUAAUUUCUUUUUUCUUUUAUUACGAAUUACCUAUAAUUUUUUUCUUCUUGUUUUCAGUAUGUGCCGGACAAGUUUAUUUUCAAAAUGGAAGUAGCUUUAUUAUCUUUGCCAAUAAUAAAUAAGAUAAUAAAAGUUAUAGCUGCACUACAUAAAAAUUCAGAUUUUCAUAAAAAAGAUAAAGAAAUAAAAAAUCAAUCAUAGCUGCACCACUCAGAAAGUAAAUAUUUUUCUUAAUAAUAAUAAUUUAUUAAUGUUUCAAUGAUAUUUUCAUAAAGUUUAUGAAAAUUAUAUUUAAUCAAACCACUAUUCAUUGCGGCAAAAUAUACAUACCAUAAAAACAACCAUUUUAGCCAUUUUUGAAUGUAAAACUUAGGGGCAUUAAGUAUAUUAGCAUUACAGUGCAAACAUGUUGUUUUUCCUCUGAUUUGUUUCACUUACAUCAUAGCUUCUCAUGUAAAAAAUAAAGGCAUGAUUCUUUAAAACUCCCUGGGGUAGAAUUGUUGGGUUAGCCUAUUGAUGGACAUUUGGGUUUUUUAAAUGAUUUUAGCUGUUAAAAACCAUGUUGUGAUGAACAUUCUUAUGUUAUUACUUGUACAUUUUUGCAGACCUGUCUAUUUACUUUUGGAUGAACCCCCAGAGGGUGAAUGGCUGGAAUGAACAGUAAUCACAUUUAUAACGCAUUUGACACAUGCUAUCAGAUUGGCUUCCAGAAAUGCCACACCAAUUACCAGCAGGAAAUGAGAGUAUAGGACAAUAUUUUAUUCAUUUUUGUGUGUGCGUUUGAAUUUUUUUUUGAGUAAAUGUUAUUAAACUGUUAUCUAUUAUAUCUUUGUUUUGCAAAGAUAUCACUGGUUUGUUUUCUGAUUUUUACAUUUGGUUUUCUCUACUUUUAAACACUUACCUGUCUAGGAUUUUUUUUUUUUUAUGUACAAUUUGAGAAAAUUAGCCAAAUUGAUCCCCCCACACGUAUUGCUAAGGAUUGUUACAAAACUUAAUACUCUCUCUCCCCCAGUUGAUGCCUAUUUUAUCACAUUUUAUUGAAAAAAUGACCCUACUUUCACUAUCAGUAUGUAAUAACACAAAGCAGGGUGUUUAGUAUUCUUAUUUUGUCCAAAUGCCAGAAAUUUCAAAUCGUUAAUAUUUAUUGUAUUAUCCACUUCUAUUUUAUUAUGUUCCAAGGAUACAAUUAUUCCUCUCAGAGAACAGCCUGAUUUUAUCAUGGAUCUUGAUAGUAAUACAGGAUUUGCUUCAGUUAACCCUUAGCACAAUUCCUUAGAGUACUCCUGCCUGAGUAAGCGAUGUGAGACACGGUGGUCUAAGGGUGUAGAGAACUUAAAAUUUGGAUGCAUGUAGUCAUGGCUUUUGUGUAUUUAACACAGCUCUUGAAUAAACAGUUACAUUAUGUCUACUAAUCAGUAGUAUUACUAAUAAGCAAUGACAAUAUAGCAACCUUUCCACUAAAUUGUAUAGUCUGUUUGAAUGUAACAAGGAAGAACAAAUCUGACUCCCUAUUGGAUCUGUUGUUGUUGUUUUUACUUUAAACUUUGUAUUCUACUGCUUUUGCUACAAGUAUUCUUAAUUUAGUUGCCUAUAGCCUGAAAUAUACAGGAUAGCCCAUUCUCCAGGCUCUGGCCUUGAAGGAUAUAACAGUUUUUCAUUCAUACAGAGAUUAAAAUGUUUCAGAACAGAGAAUAACAGUUGUCUUAUUGGAGGUUUACAGGAACAUAGUAAACAUGAUCUGACCUUACAGGACAGCUGCAAGAACAAAGGAUUACAACACCAAGAAGUUUGCAACAACCAACCAUACCCCUUUCCCUUUCAGUAUAAAAGAACCCUGAAUUCUAAUUUAGAUAAGAUUGUUUUUUGGGACACUAGUUUGCCAUUGUCUUGGUCUGCUGGUUUUCCUAAUAAAGUCACUAAUCCUUGCCC
rnacentral:lncRNA from 1 species